AAGUCGUAACAAGGUUUCCGUAGGUGAACCUGCGGAAGGAUCAUUGGGAAGAGUGGGGGAAAGAUGUGGGAAUGUGGGGUGAGAUAUCACGUGACAAAAAUAUUCUAUUCUAAAAUGACUAGCCACCUGGGAUCUCUGGGCUCUU
rnacentral:misc_RNA from 1 species